rnacentral:lncRNA from 1 species
CCAAAAGGAAAGAAUUCCACCUCAUCCCAUUUUAAAAACAUAUUUCAAUAAGCGCAAAUGCUUUCUUUUUCUUUUUUUUUUUUGAAGAUGUGAAAUCUUGUACUGGUCGUUGGUUGUUUCUCUUUCAGUACAAUCAGAAAAUAGUGGAAUACUGAAUUAUGGGAAGCUUCCAUUAUCUCAGGUGUCAACAUUCCAUAGGUUGGUGUGGGGGCAGUUUUUAUGUUCUAUAAUACAAAGCAUACUAAAUGGAAUAAAUGGAAAUUUAGAGUCACAGUUAAACAUUCGACUUAUGUCUUCUCUUUUAAGCAUUUUAAACUACCUCUAUUAUAUUGAUUUUUAGAAGAAUUGUUUUCUAAAGAAAACUGCUUCCUGAUGUUGGCGCAGUGCUGUGUUUAGUCAUUCCUCCCAAUGCCAGUGAUCCCUUAAAUCUGGGUGUUGUCCAUCAUCAUCCCUGCCCGUCUCCGUGCAUCCACAACUGCCACAUCCUGAGAGCUCAGUCCAUCAUAAAUGCAAUUAUAGCCUUUUACCUCCUCCUCACCAGAUACUCUCUACAGGGCAAGUUCAUCAAACUGUGUGCUUAGAAGCUCUGGAGCAGAACUCUCACCCACCAGAAGAUUGCCUCAAGAGAUAAAAGAUGAUUUACAACCCAAAGUAUGCCCACUAGAGGUUUUGGCCAUUUUUACAAUGUAUUCCUGCCCAUGAAGAUGCCAACUUGACUGCCCAAUACAUAAAGCACCAAAGCAAGUAUGCGGACCCCCCCACACCUCCUCACUUCUGCUCCUGUGUAGACCCCCAUCUUUAAAAGCACUUACUUUCUCCUGCAAAAGCAAAUCAGACCCUUACAGCAGGAAGGCUUUUCUUCUUCUCCUAAACUAGCUUUGGAAUAAAAAGUUAUUUUCUUUA